UGGGGUGGAUUCAAUUGAGCCACGGAUUGGGCUUCUAUGAACGAGUACUCUCGCCGACAAGGAACUACGUUGCAGGAAAACUUCUUGAGGAAGCUCGGGGAAUGUUAACCACCAAAAGAAAUAGUAAAAUUAUGGUUUGAGUUGGUUCAUCCAGAGUAAGCUCACAUUCGCCCCCAAAGAAAUAAUUGAUCUGAGAAUGCUUUGAGCCGAUCACCGGGGGAU
rnacentral:lncRNA from 1 species